UACGUAGGUGGCAAGCGUUAUCCGGAAUUACUGGGCGUAAAGCGCACGCAGGCGGCGCAUCAAGUUCGACGUGAAAGCUCCCGGCUUAACUGGGAGAGGUCGUUGAAGACUGAUGUGCUUGAGGCAAGGAGAGGGGUGUAGAAUUCCCGGUGUAGUGGUGGAAUGCGUAGAUAUCGGGGGGAAUACCAGUGGCGAAAGCGGCACCCUAGCCUUAGCCUGACGCUCAUGUGCGAAAGCGUGGGGAGCGAACGGGAUUAGAUACCCCCGUAGUCC
rnacentral:rRNA from 1 species